GAAAGCUGCCAUAAUCAGCUGCUGGAUAUAAAGGUAUAGCCCAUGAAGUUUAAAAAAGUAAAAGAAACGAAUUGGUUAAAUCAUUACUAGUUAAUUAUAGAUGUCGUGGCUCUCUUUUAUCAUGCCAGGUCAUUGAUCCUGUGGGCAUGCUAGCCUACUCAGUAGCUCAGCCAGCUAUAACUAGCUAGUGAACUCUAGCCUACAACGUUAACCUACUCACUUGAGCUGCAAAUCCCUACCAUUGGAAAUGAUUGUGCUACAGUAUAAUUAGCACCUAUCUCAGCAGAUGUCUUCAAUAUGUUUAUUGUUGUGCCAUAUUUCUAAAUCUUAAUUUGUAAAUUGUUCUUCCUGAAACCCACUAGAGGGCACUAUUUAAAAGGAUAUUUAAAAAAAUGUCUUAUGGGGGACCAUGCCCCCAAACCCCCCUAGUUUUGCUGGGUCACAGGAAAAUGUUUAGGUUUUAUCUAGGGGCUUAGCCCCUCCCCAAAAGUGGGAACCUAAAUUUGCCCCUGCCAGACAGGUCAGUGCAUCACCUUAUUAACACAUUUAAUAAUAUUCGAACCACACACAGUUACACACCGCAAUCAUACAAUAAACCAUACAGACAACAGACACCCUACAUGCCAUAACCACACCACACAACCCAUGAGUACAGUGCCCCUGUGCUGAGCCUGCCGGAAGUCGUUUUAGCAGAAGAUAGCUCCGUCAGGUUGAGCACACUGACAGUCAGGCCAGGGACAGCGAGGUGAAGACAAGCAGCAUAGCAGAAUAGCAAUCGACAGUGAAGCAGUGUCACGACAGACAGCAAAGCCCCCCCGCAAAGUGGCAAAGCAGCACAGGAUGGCAGCAAACAAACGCAGAAUGGCAACCAACAAGCCUCUGUAACGCUGUAUUUUUGCACUACAUUUUCUGUAUUUUUGUUUUAUUUCUACAGUUGUGUGAGUACACCAUGUUUGGUAUAUUUGUCUGUGUUUAGUGAUGCUAUUAAAUAUAUCAGCAUUAAAUUGAGGACUUCCAAUUGUAUUCCUCUCAUACAUUGGGGAAAGAUAAUGAGGAGUGGUCACUUAAAGUAAGCUCCAGGCAAGAGGCAAGGGGAUUGAAAUUGAUGCCUCAUAAAAAGGGUUUCCCAUCUAAUCACAAGGGGCCCCUCCUGUGUGUAUGCUUCAAGACCUGUGUUGAAACAGGAUUUUAGCAAUCCUGUUGUGCAACAUAUACACACAGGGAUCAGUUGAAAUAUUUUCUUCCUGUCUGAAAUGUGUCUCUAAAGAUUCCUUGUCCUUUUUCUUUAGUUAGGUCUGUGACAGCAAAGUUGUACUGACUGAUGAUGGCUGAGCCAGAGGGAAGAGUGGAUAUGUCCAUUAAUUACUUGAAGACACGCAAAGGAAUGACUAUGGCAGGAGAAAUAGUAAGUCCAACAAUCCUUCAAACUCUGUAUAAGUAAAAAAAAAAAAAAACAAGGAGGGAACAUUACUACUUUAUGGAAAACUUUACCAUUGUAACUUUGCUAAUUAACUUAAUCACUGACAGUCAGAUUGCUCACAGUGAGUUUCAUUUCUAAAGAAGCCAUACAACUUUGAACCUUGACAUUGCAUUGAACUGUCAUGGCAUGCUAAUACAAGAUUUUAUUUUUCUUUAAAUAUUCAGGUCCUUUGCUUAUUUUCCAUCGUUGGCAAAACUGUACCUGUCAAUGUGGGUUGUUACAUCAUUGUACCCCUUGCUGAGAUAGUUUUGGGCAUUUUUAUGCUGAUCAUCUUUACAAGGGGAUUGGAGAAGACAUCCUUUGAGGUUCACUGGCUUUUUUGUGUAAGUCUUUUAAGCACAAAUACUAUUAACAAAUGGGAUAUGCAUUCAGUGUUUUUUAAAUUAAAAGUAUUACUUUAUCACUAACAAAUAGCCACAGAGAUGUGGUUUAAAGGUUUAUUUACAGAUGCAUACAGAUUAAUUUAAGUCAAGUCCCUGGGUCAGGUCCUCAAAAGGCCUACAAAAGGAAAAGUGUAUCUAUUUCAGUGUCAGAAUGUUUGUUUGCCUUUCAGGACCUCCUCAGAGCUGUGACUGGGUCAGUAAUACUGUUGAUGACCUCAGCCAACUGUUUCAUCCACCUGAUUGCCAAAUCAGCGGCACUCAUAACAGGAGAGGUUUUUGGAUUGUGUGCAGGAUGCUUGUUUGGUUAUGAUGUGUUCUUAGUUUAUUCCAUGAUAAAGAGUAAAAAUAUGUCCACAACUGAUGAAGUGCCGCCUGGACAAGAGGAACAGUCCUAAACUAAGGCAUGCAGAAGAUGGCGCAAUCGAGACAGGAGGAAAGAAGAAGUCAUAGGAUUAAAUGAGUCUUAAGUCUA